UACAGAGGGCCCGAGCGUUGUUCGGAUUCAUUGGGCGUAAAGGGUGCGUAGGCGGCGGGGCAAGUCUGAUGUGAAAUCCCGGGGCUCAACCCCGGAACGGCAUUGGAUACUGCCUUGCUAGAGUACUGGAGAGGGAACUGGAAUUUACGGUGUAGCAGUGAAAUGCGUAGAGAUCGUAAGGAAGGCCAGUGGCGAAGGCGAGUUCCUGGACAGUUACUGACGCUGAGGCACGAAGGCCAGGGGAGCAAACGGG
rnacentral:rRNA from 1 species